GAAUUAUCUCAGGGCCCUUUCUCCAGCCCCUUCCAACCUAGUAAUCACGCCACAGGGCGCUUCACAGGGCACUAGUAUAGUUUAAUUUCAGAUGUUUACUAAUUUCGCUUUUCAGCCAAGAAGGGUACCUAGGGUUAGAGUAUCUCAUGGGCCGCAGAAUAUGCCUGUGAUUUAGUAACAUUGCUUUGUUCUCAGGGUUUUUAUUUGUUUUUGGUUGGUUGGUUGGUUGGUUGGUUGGUUGGUUGGUUGGUUGGUUUUUUGAAACAGGGUUUCUCUGUGUCGCCCUGGCUAUCCUGGAACUCACUCUGUAGACCAGGCUGGUCUCGAACUCCGAAAUCUGCCUGCCUCUGCCUCCCAGGUGCUGGGAUUAAAGGUGUGUGUCACCACUGCCCGGCAGGGUUUUUAUUUGUAAUCAUCUUCUCCUACAGUAAAAAAGACUAGCACCACAAAAGGGGUUUUCCUUUAGACCCAGCUUCAUUUUAAAUAAACACAAGCAAAAUUCAAAGUUUGUGUAUAAUGUUUUGGAGAAAAUAUUAGUGUCUAUAGCACAGUAAGUUGAAUAUAGUUAAUAAUAAUAAUGUAUUUUAUAUCUUAAAACAGUAGUUAUCAUAAAAGUGAUAAAAGUCUAAGUGAUAAAAGUGAUAAAAGUGAUAAAAGUGAUAAAAGUGAUAAAAGCCAAUUGCCCUGAGUUGAGUUCUACCCAAUAUGAACUUAAACUAAAACAUAUUUAAUGUGCCAAUCAAAAAAUUUUUAGAUGUAUAGAGAAUAAAAGGUGAUGAUGAUCAUGGCACCUGCCUCUAAUCCAAGAGGCAGGGGAUUGCUGUAAGUUUGAGGUCUAUAUAGCAAGUUCCAGGCCAGCAGGGCUACACAGGGAGAUUCUGUUUCAAAAAAACAACAACAACAACAACAAACAACAACAACAACAACAACAAAAAACCUAAAUACUAAAAAAUAAAAUAAAAUAAUACUUGGAUGAUGCCUCUAAAAAUAUUAUAUUUAACCAUGCAUACAGUUCUUAUUCUGCACCAGGUGCCACUCCAUGUAACUUGCUAACUCGUUUAUUCUGAGGCUAAGUUCUGUUGGUGAAGAUUGCUCAGCAAGGCUGACAGGGCUCCUGAUGCAUGGCUCUUGCCCAUGCCUGGCACAGAGCAAGCUCAGUCCUGGUGACAGAAGCACUGCCACAGAGGGUGGUAGCUGACUGAGAGACGGCGGGUAGGUCAGAGGCUUUGGGCUGCAACGAAAAGUGAAUUUCAAUCAGUUGCCCAAUGCUUUAACUUAGCUCCCUCCGGAGACUGCUCCAGCUUUCUCUUGGACUCUGACUUUUAGCGUUCCUUUAUCCUUGGCCAUGAAAGAGUUAACACUUGGGCGCAAAGUGUCUCAGAUGAGUCCCUUAAAAUUCUCCUGCCCCCCAGUUCUCAGUAGAGCAGGCUUCUUGCCUGCCAUCUUCCUGGUGUUCAUUUUGGAAGGUUCUAUAGUUGGGACACUCAGUGUUGCUAUACUCACCCAUCUCCCAGCUGUCUGUAGCUCUUUCUAAGACUUGCUAUCCUGGAGAGAGACACGGUGUGACUCAACUAUUUCAAGCUGUGCUUCUUAAAGGAAACCCUCUGUUUAUCUGGAAAAAUAUAUUUAAAAACGUGUUAAGGCAGUCAGAAUGACUGAUGAUACCAUGAAGAUUCCCAUAGAGCUGUCUUUCUCGUAUCCAUGGUCUCCUUUGUGUUUCAUACUUGCAAUUAUAAAUCUGC
rnacentral:lncRNA from 1 species